GAUGAACGCUGGCGGCGUGCCUAAUACAUGCAAGUCGAGCGAACAGAUGAGGAGCUUGCUCCUCUGACGUUAGCGGCGGACGGGUGAGUAACACGUGGAUAACCUACCUAUAAGACUGGGAUAACUUCGGGAAACCGGAGCUAAUACCGGAUAAUAUAUUGAACCGCAUGGUUCAAUAGUGAAAGACGGUUUUGCUGUCACUUAUAGAUGGAUCCGCGCCGCAUUAGCUAGUUGGUAAGGUAACGGCUUACCAAGGCAACGAUGCGUAGCCGACCUGAGAGGGUGAUCGGCCACACUGGAACUGAGACACGGUCCAGACUCCUACGGGAGGCAGCAGUAGGGAAUCUUCCGCAAUGGGCGAAAGCUUGACGGAGCAACGCCGCGUGAGUGAUGAAGGUCUUCGGAUCGUAAAACUUUGUUAUUAGGGAAGAACAAAUGUGUAAGUAACUAUGCACGUCUUGACGGUACCUAAUCAGAAAGCCACGGCUAACUACGUG
rnacentral:rRNA from 1 species